UUUAAAUGUCACUGUCAGAGUUGACAUUGGAAUUUAAACAGUUAUGCAGCACUUGGUAGGUGGUAGUAGAGGGACAGGGGUGGCUGCCAUAAGUCAUCAGGGGCGGCUGCCAUAGGUCAUCAGGGGCGGCUGCCAUAAGUCAUCUGUGCAGGCUGUACAAGCAGACCAACUAUCAAACUGAUCAAUAUGAUCGACCCCGUGUCAAAUUGACACGGGGGCGAUCAGGGGUGAGAAUAAUGUGGCACGGGGAAGGGAGAAAAUAUUGAUCAGUUAAUAGAUCACCGAUAUAGCGGUCUCCAAAUUGUGGACCUCCAGAUGUUACAGAACAACAACUCUUAGCAUGUCUGUACACCCAAUGGCUGUCGGGACAUGCUUGGAGUUGUAGUUUUGCAUCAUCUAAAGGUCCACAGUUUGAAGACCACCGUAUUACACUGUAUUACAUUGAUCAAUAUGAGCAAAGAAGAAUACGCCAUUAAAAACAUCAUGGGGUUGGUAAUACGGAACAUUCAAUGUAUUCAAUCAAAUUCAUAAGUCCUGUGAUGUGGUUCUUUUCUCCCACCGAAAAACCACGAGUAUACGGGCCAAGCCUGGUUCUGAAAAACAUAAAGGGGGAGAUUUAUCAAAACCCGUCCAGAGGAAAAGUUGUCCAGUUGCCCAUAGCAACCAAUCAGAUCGCUUCUUUCAUUUUGCAGAGGCCUUGUUAACAAUGAAAGAAGCGAUCUGAUUGGUUGCUAUGGGCAACUUUUCCUCUGGACGGGUUUUGAUAAAUCUCCCCCUUUAAUGUGGAGUGGAGGCCAGCAACGUGUCAUGUGGUGGUGGCAUUGAUCUUGUUUUUCAGUACGCUGUGACAACGUACCAUGCACCAAUAGCCACCGAGCACGACUCUCACCAGAUGGACAGAAAAUCAGAGUCAAUAAAGUUGAGACCACGUUUUUUUUUUUU